rnacentral:ncRNA from 1 species
CAAGACACAGGAAAUGAAUGUCUUCCUUGGGCCUAGCCCUAAACCGCUAUUGAUGAUUCAAAAGCUGAUGACUUCUGCUGUAAA